CUUUGCAAUCAAAGUGAAGUUUUUGAUUUGAGGAUUCAAAAGCCCAAGCCUGAAGAUUUGAAGCAUAAGCCCAAGUAUCAGAUUUGGAGGAAUACAGUGAAGCCGCUUUCCCACGGUUAAGACAGAACAGAACAUAAUGCCCAGCAGAGGAGAGGAAAAAGAAGGAAGAGAUGAAAACCAUGUCUCCUAGGCGAUUUGCCAUGUCAGGAUAAGAUGAAUAUCUCCUUCCCAGCCACCAGCCAUCAGAAACACAUUGGAGUGGAUGAUGAAAAGCAAACCUUGCAUUUUUCUUUGGAGAUCAAAAGAGCAAGCAGAAUCCUAAUCUUUUCAACCUCUCUAAAGAAGAUGAUGUCCGCCAAUAUGUUCACAGAAAGCUUUAAACAAAGAAGGUGAGAAGUCCAGUACCAAAGUCCCCAAGAUCCAGAAUCUUGUGACUCCACAUGUUCUACAACACAAACACUAGCGUGUCCUCCACAAGAGCUUCUACAUCCAAGCCUGGGUCCAGUCAAGAAUAAGUCUCUAAGAGUGAGAGCCUUUGGAGCACUCAGUUCUGGGCACUGUGAAACUUCAGGAAGAUCUGACAAGUUGGCCCUGCACUUGAGUAGUUCUAAUCCAGUGGAAGAGAGAGCCAAACUUCAGGAAGGUACUUGGGCAGAACGGAGACUGUGUGUGCCCAGAGAAGUCAGGGAAGGCUCUUCUGUUUACUAGCCGGCUUCAAGGCUCCCAGUUUUUCAGCCCUUCCUGGGCAAAGGCCACAUCCAGAAAGACCUGCAGGUGCACAAUCAUUGUACCUCUUAUCAUAAUUCUUCUUUCUGCUCCUCAAGCGCAUCACUUCCAAAAAGCACACAAAGUUCAAAUCCAAAUCUGUAGCUGGGGUCUGUGGUGAGAAUAUGACCCCUGGGGGAUCAGAGCUGUCUGUCACUCCUAAAACCAGGAAAAGUCUUAACUCACACCUCCCAAGUUGCCUGAAAUGGUAAGGCUUUCCUAGGACUGCACUUUCUGUGGUCGACAGCUAGACUCUGAAUCCCUGGCAUAGUACUGUCCUCAAAGACACAUUGCAAAAUGGGACCCACCAUGUUGCCAUGGAGACUAGUAGGACUUCCUGAGAUACCCAGAACUGGUAACCUUGUACGCAGAUCUCUGUGGAAAUAAGAGACACAGGAGAUCUUCCUGAAGCUCUUAGAGACUGAAGGAGGUGGCCCAAUACUUCCAUCUAUCCACUCAUUAACUCACCAGGGGAGCAGUGACAAAUAGUGAAUGAACUCAUUUAAAUAUGAAUGUCCCCAGGUUGUGGUGGUGCACACCAGUAGGAUUUGCUGAAGGAGGCAGAGGCAGGCAGAUCUCUGUGAGUUCGAGGCCAACCUGGUCUUCAGAGUGAGUGCCAGGACAGCCAGGAUAGGUUCCAAAGCUAC